AGGUGUUGCCUGGGACCUCAGAGAUGAGAAUACUUAGGACUAUAAGCAACCCUGCAUGGUGCAGGUAUAGAAAUAUACCCCAGUGGUGAACAGAAGCCAAAACAUGUGAAGGGGCUCAGGGACAGCAGGCCCUCAAACAGCUGGGAUGCAAUGCCAACUCUUUCCAUAAGCAGUAUGUCAGUUUGAGCCUCUAAUCCAGUUUAUCAGGACCAUUUAGGUGUGGGGGACAGAAAAAAAAGGUAGUAGGACCUGAACUGGUGCCAUUCUUCCCUUUGCAAGUUCUAAUGUGCUUCUGGAUGAGAGACUGAUGCCCAAGCUGGGAGACUUUGGUCUGGCUCGUUUCAGCCGCUUUGCAGGGGCCAACCCAAGCCAGAGCAGUACUGUGGCCCGGACUUGCACAGUUCGAGGUACCCUCGCCUACCUGCCUGAGGAGUACAUCAAGACAGGCCGGCUGGCUGUGGACACCGAUACCUUCAGCUUUGGGGUGGUAAGCCACCAGCCCUUCUGUUGGCCUGGGGAGGGAAAACCACCAGUAAGUAAAGGCAGGAAAGCCUAGAGAAUUCUAGGCCUAGGACAGAGGCAAACCUAGUGAAAAGUUAACAUAACUUUGACCUUGGGGUUCACCCUGCCUCAUACACCUCCAUCUUCCCUUGAGCUAAGUUAUGUUCAUAGUUUGCAUCAAUUUGCUUCAUAUAGCCACUCUGAAUUGUUUAAGCUUCAGUCCCAUAACAAUGCUGUCUUACCCUCCUGUUUCCCUUUCCCAUCGGAUCUUGACACUGAUCUUGGUGGUCCUUAACGAGGAAGAGUACACUGAAGCUGGCCUCACAGCGAUGCAGCUUGGUGUAGAGCAUCAGGCCAGAUUCGAACAUGCCUAGG
rnacentral:lncRNA from 1 species